AAUUUAUUUUUGGGCGAUCCUAGUGUUGCUCAAUGAUCCUUUAAUUCAUUAUGUUAGAUAUCACGGAAGAUGUAUUCUGGAAACAAAGGAUACGCCGCUUCAGAUGAAUAAAUGAAAA
rnacentral:sRNA from 1 species